AGUGUGUAGUGUGUAGUGUGUAGUGUGUACUGUAGAGUGUAGUGUGUGUCCACCGGAAGCAACGAUGGGCGACCUCAAAUGCAUUUCAAUAUCCAUGAAUAUGAUCCUCUUCCUAAUCAUCAUCGCCUCUCCUCAUCUGGCCUCGUCGUUGUUGUCGUCGUCUCAGCAACAGCAGCUAAAACAUCAAGAAAAAGAAGAAGACGAGCAGAUCAUCAGCCGAUUCCAAAGCUACCUCCGUUUCAAAACAGCCCACCCCAACCCUAACUACACUGCACCUGUCUCCUUCCUUAUCUCCCAAGCUCACUCCAUCGGCCUCCAGACCCGCAUACUCGAGUUUGUUUCCGGAAAACCCGUACUCAUUGUCACCUGGCCCGGUUCUAGGCCCGACCUCCCUUCUAUCCUUUUCAACUCCCAUCUCGACUCCGUCCCGGCUGAGCCUGAUAAGUGGCUUCAUCCUCCAUUUUCUGCUGUACAAGCUUCUGAUGGAAAGAUAUAUGCCCGCGGGGCCCAAGACGACAAGUGCAUCGGUUUACAAUAUCUGGAGGCCAUCAGGAACCUUCGCCAACUCCGACAAUUUCAGCAGCCUAUCAGAACAGUCCACCUGUCCUACGUACCCGACGAGGAGAUUGGAGGCUUUGAUGGAGCGGCCAAGUUAGUAGAGUCCAAGGAGUUCGAGGAAUUGAAUGUAGGGUUUGUGAUGGAUGAAGGCCAGGCUUCUCCAACCGAUCAAUUUAGGGUUUUCUACGCUGAUCGAUCGCCGUGGCAUGUCACCAUUACGGCCAGUGGAGUCCCAGGGCAUGGGUCCAGGAUGUAUGAUCAUAGUGCCUUGGAGAAUUUGAUCAUCAGUUUUGAGAUGAUUUCUAAAUUUAGGGACUCUCAAUUUGAUUUGGUAAAGAGAGGAUGGGCUGCUAAUUCUCAAGUCAUCUCUGUUAAUCCUGUGUUUUUGAAUGCUGGAAUUCAUACCUCUAAUGGGUUUGCCAUGAACAUGCAGCCAUCCGAAGCUCAGGCAGGGUUUGAUAUUCGGUUGCCUCCCACUGUGGAUCCAGAACUUAUUAGAAACAGAAUUGCUCAUGAGUGGGCUCCUGCAUCAAGGAACAUGUCAUUCCAGAUUGUUGAAAAAGGACCAAAUAGAGACUUCUGGGGUCACCCCUUGAUGACGUCAACUGACGAUACCAACCCAUGGUGGUCUCUUUUUGUGCAAGCUGUUGCAGCAGUAGGAGGACAACUUGGGAAGCCUGAAAUCUUAGCUUCUACAACUGAUGCUAGAUUUAUGAGGCAGAGAGGGAUUCCCACUUUGGGUUUUUCCCCUAUGAAAAAUACUCCGAUUUUGCUUCAUGAUCAUAACGAGUUCCUGCAAGAUGCUGUAUAUUUAAAUGGAAUUAAGGUGUAUGAAUCCAUAAUCAAAUGUUUGAGUUCAUUCAAGGGACUUGAAAAGAGCUCUGCUGGCACCAUAUAAGAAAUUUAGCAGUGAGCACUGAGCAGACACCACUUAGUUGAAUGCAAGCUGUGAAAGAGCUUCUUCUACCAGAUUUCUGUUUCCGGAGAAGAUUGCACCUAAUAAUGAUGUUAUCCACAGUUUGCUUGAGCAACUUACAAAAUACUAAUCAAGCUGUAAACCUUAGAUUCCGAAAAUCUCAGGGUCCCUUAUCAAGCUUGUAUAUUUUUCUAAGACAUGAGGAUAAAUCAGCUGAAGAUAAGCGUAAGAGGUCAAUGAAGCAGAUAUUUGGAAUUUCUAAUGGUAAUAGGAGAAGUUAUCCAAUACUUGGUGGCAGACUUCGUUUUGUAAAGUUUGAGACUGCCAAGAUAAAUGUGUGUUUUGACUUCAUCAGUCAAAGCAACUACAGUUACACCGUGGAGGGAUGGUUGCUCGUUUUUGGCCUGCCGAUGCCUUGUCGAAUGAAAAUGUUGUAGUCAAGACAUACAAUUACUGGACUUGAUGCGAUUUCUGAGAAAAGAUUAAGCACACAGGACAAUAAUUCUGUUUGAAGGAGAUGCUGAUGGUUGAGGGACUUAAAGACUUGGUGGUGAAUGUGUUUAUAAAGUCAUCUUACUAGAUCAUCUUUGCUGCCGAAUUUAUGAAGACAUCAGACCUAUAAGGUAACUUUAUUAACGGAUUAUUUUUUUUCUGUUUUUUUAAAAAAAAAACUAAUUACUGCUCAGAUUCUUGCAGUUUCUUGGGUGUUAAUUUUGGAUUGAUGCCGACUCCCAUUUGCAGAUUCCACACUAGAUCCAUCUUUCUUGAAUUAAUUGUAUACUCCUUCCGUUUAUUUAAAUUCUUCAAUUCUGGUUUACUGUUUAUCAUUCAACUAUUAAAAAUUAAACAAUAUCCAUUAUUUUGUUUUUUUUUAAGUUGGAGCUUGAACGAACUUUAACCGAGCUUAUUAACAAACACACACAACUUUAUGGACGAAAAACACAAGUUGAUUGCUAUACCAUUUGAAUACAUACUUUUUCGAGUUA